rnacentral:rRNA from 1 species
AAUAGGUAGUAAAAUUGAAAAAUUUAGUCAAAGAACGAUUAAACGGCCGCCUUAUCCUGAGGGUGCGAAGUGUAGCGUAAUUCUUGUCACUUAAUUAGUGGACAGUGAACGGCUUAACGAGUGCUCCAUUGUUUCAGGAGGGGGAUUUAUAAAUUUAUAGUAAUAGUAAAGAUACUAUUUAAAAUUGUAAGACGAAAAGACCCUAGGAGCUUAACUAUAACUCACCACGUAUAUAUUAAAUAGGAAAGGUGGGUUGGUAGUUUGAUUGGGGCGAUCACCUUCCAUUAUAAACAAAGGUAUGCAAAAUAAACAAUUAAAAAAUUAUUACUUAUACUGUAUAAAAAAUAGUUUUAACAGUUAUAAAAAUAGGCGUUAAUGACCCUAUAACCAUAAAAAAAACAGGUUAUAGUUUAAUAAGUAAAAGCUACCCUAGGGAUAACAGGGUAAUUUCAUUGAUGAGUUCUUAUUAUCUUUGAAGCUUACCACCUCGAUGUUGAAUUAAGUUAACCUAAAGGCGCAGAAGCUUUUAAAGGUGGGACUGUUCGUCCCCUAAGAACUUACAUGAUUUGAGU